UACGUAGGUGACAAGCGUUGUCCGGAUUUACUGGGCGUAAAGGGUGUGUAGGUGGCGCUGUAAGUCGGGUGUGAAAUCUCGGGGCUUAACUCCGAAACUGCAUUCGAUACUGCGGUGCUUGAGGACUGGAGAGGAGACUGGAAUUCAUGGUGUAGCAGUGAAAUGCGUAGAGAUCAUGAGGAAGACCAGUGGCGAAGGCGGGUCUCUGGACAGUUCCUGACACUGAGACACGAAGGCCAGGGGAGCAAACGGG
rnacentral:rRNA from 1 species